GGCUGGCUGCCUGGUGCGUCAGGCUGCUUUAUCCCCGGGGCCGAUAAUCAUUACCUCUGGGGGCUGUCCCUGUCGGCGCCGUGGUGCCGGUAUAUGGCUCCCACCUGCUUGAGCAGGUCACGAGGGAUGGCUUACGCCAACGGCCAAGGUGGCCACCUU
rnacentral:other from 1 species